GAAACGGGAGUGACUCCUGCCCAGUCGCCGAGCGACGGGCGAUUCGGCCCGGGUACCAGGCGGGGUCUGAGGCAGUUGGCGGUGGCAGGUACCACCUCGGCCGUUGCGUCCCACCCGCAGCCCACCUAGCCCCGUUCUGUCCGCGCGGUCCUCCAGCGGCCGUAGACGCUCAGAUGAGCGGGAAGCGGCCCUCCCCGCCGUCUGACUCCCCGGCGCCGCCGCCUCGUGGGCGGCCAAGCACCGACACGGGCAGUACGACCUCCCCGGGGCUGAGCUGCUGCAGCCGCAUGGACUCCUCGUAGGUGGGCAGGUGAAGAGAGGUUAGAGCCAGAGCAAAGGGGUGGCUGUGCUGAAAGUGGAAUCCAGGGCUCCUCGAAGAGGAAGCCAUGCAAGGUACAGUGCCUCACUACUGUCACUAUUGCAAGGACCCUGGUAUGAUUAGAGCCAGGAAAUCCAGAGGGAGGCAGCAUGGAGCUGGUAUGCGGUUCUGUGAUGUCAUUUUGUUGCCCUACGGUUAUAAUAUAUCACCUCCACCUCCAGAUGUGAUGACAUCUGAGUUUCAGGCAGGAAGAAGAAAGAAGGACAAAAUACUUUUAGAAAGACAUACACAAAUAAAGAAAAAAAAUUAUAUUCUAGCUAUCUGCUAUUGCCUUAGGGAGCUUUCCUAGAAGCUUUACCUAAACAAUUGUGUUUACACCAUAUUAGCUAGGAUGAGUUGUGUACCCAGCCCCUAGUGGCAAGAGAUCUGGGAUAUGUAGUUUAGUAGCUGGGCACAUUCUAAACCUAACUAAACCACAACUAGGGGUCUGGUGGUAAAAAAAAAAAAAAAAAAAAAGAGUGUCUAGGGGCACUUGUGUGGCUCAGUCAGUUAAGCAUCUGACUUUGGCUCAGGUCAUGAUCUGGCAGUUCACCACUUUGAGCCCCACGUUGGGCUCUGUGCUGACAGCUCAGAGCCUGGAGCCUGCUUCAGAUUCUGUGUCUCCUCCUCCCUCUGAUCCUCCUCCCACCUUCUCUCUCUCUCAAAAAUAAAUAAAUAUUAAAAAAAUUAAAGGGGCACCUGGGGGGCUCAGUCGGUUAAGCGUCCAACUCUUGGUUUCAGCUCAGGUCAUGAUCUCAUGGUUUUGUGGGUUUGAGCCCCCCAUUGGGGUUUGUGCUGGCAAUGUAGAGCCUGCUUGGGAUUCUCUGUCUCCUUCCCUCUCUACCCCUCCACCCUCUCUCUUUCUCAAAAUAAGUAAAUAAACUUAAAAGAAUAAAAAAAAAAAAUAGUGUCUCUCACAAGGAGUUUGGAGUUUCCCCAGUGUGGCAUAUUCCUGGAAAGAUUUUUGAGAAACUAUAUGCUAUGCUAGAAAAAAAACACUAGCUUUGGAGUCAGAAGGAUUCAGGGCAGGCACUAAUUUAAAAAAUGCACAUAAAGUGUCCAGUACAACACCUGGACAUAGGACACUUGCAAAAGCAAUAGUUCUCUCUCUUCCUCACAAGGGCCUCCAAAGGAUCUUAGCUAGGGCCUUCAGAGUCAGGAACAAUUAGUCUCUGCCAAGUUUCUGGACUCUUUUGCACAAAUAGGGAGUAAACCUCCUAAUCAUAUUUUCAGCCAGAAUGAGAGCCCCAGGGAAUCUGAAUUCUUCAGGGCCAGGAGAGACAAAUAGAACUCAUGCAGCAGGAUUGCAGACCUGAGGGCACUGACCUCUCUGUAAGUCCUCUCCUGAAGACUUCCAGGACUGUGUAGGCAUAUUGGGGGUGCUUAAUGAACAGUUCUGUGUUCAAAGAGGUGCUUAACUUAGAUGGUUAGCCAUAGGAUGUGGACCGCAUGGAAAACAGGGUGAGAGUUGUCAGUUGGUGGCAGGCUUAAAGGCUUUGAGGAGUUUCUUACUGUGACAGUGGAAGCCAUUUACAUCAAGACACAAUGAGUUGGAUGCUCACAAAAAAGAGGGAGAGAGAGAGUCAGAAACAAGAAGACCCCACAGAUGCCAUUUCCGCAGUCUAGACACCUGUGAAAUAAGAGCUGUGGCUGUAGAAUCAUUUAAGGCUAGGAUAGACAGGCACUCCCAAAAUCUUUGUGGACGAUAGAAGUUUACUUGUAGCCAUUAGAAAGUUCAAAACAGGUCCUGAUUGGAGCAAUUCUCCUUCAAGCAGUGCUUUGGGAAGCCAGGCUGCAUUCAUGUUAGGGUCCUUCACCAGCAUUUUAUCUGCUAAACUGUCUACAGCCACUGGAGAGGGACGAACAAGGAGGAUCCUGUGUGGGUGGUGUUUGGGGGUCAGUCCCAGAAACGAUGCACAUUCCAUUGACUUGGAAUCAGUCACAAGACUACAUCUUACUCCAGGAGAGGCUGGAAAGUAUAAUCCAGCUAUGUACACUGGAUUGACAGGGGAAAAUGGAGUUAGUGAACAGCUAACCCGUGCCUGCCAUGGAGAUGAUGAAUAAUGAAACCUUAAAGCCUGAGUGGAUUUUUAAAGUCCCUUAUCCCCCUUAUCUUGAAUUUUGUUCCAUUGCAAAUCAAGGCAACAAGCUUUACAGACACUAUGCUAGACUUUGUGGGAGAUCCAAAAAAGAAAUCAAUCUCCUUUGCCCUUGUCCUUCCCCCUCCCCCCCCCCCAAAGGAAUGCAGGCUGUGUGUAUGGCUGGGGAGAGGGAACAAGAGGACAAGAGGAAGGGGCAGAUGUGUGUAUAAUGGAAGGUGAGGCAGACAGACAGAUGAUUGCUCAGGGAUAGGCAUUUCAGAGGCAUUUAAUUCAAGUGUUAGUGGUAUAUGUGAGUGUGAAGAUGGUACUGUAAAGCUAGUAGCAGUUGAUAAUUAUUAGCUUUGGACAAGUGGUUCUUAAAGUGUGAUCCCUGGAUCAGCAGCAUCAGGCUCAUUUGGAGACGUGCUAGAACUGCAAAUUCUCAGGCCCUAUCCCAGAUCUACUGAAUGAGAAACUUCAGGGUAGGCUUUAGCAAUCUGUGUGUUGUCAAAACCUCCAGGUGAUUCUAACACAUAAAGUUUGAGCAAUGUUGCUUUCCAGUGUAUCAGCUCUGUAGGUUAUUUGCUUGUUUGUUUGUUUGUUUUGAUGUUCAGACCUGUAAGAUAUCCUAGACCAUGGGGGCCCCUGGCUGACUCAGUUGGUGGGGCAUGCGACUCUUGAUCUCAGGGUUGUAAAUUCAAGCCCAGUGUUGAGUGUGGAGAUUAAUUAAAAAUAAAAUCUUAAAAAAAAAAAAAAAGAUACUGUAGACAAUGAAGGUUUCACCUAUUCUUCCCAUGUUUAUUCCAAUGUUGUAGGAUUAUUUCAUAAUCAAGUAUCAAUAACUUCUGAAACCCAAGGAAAUUAAUAUAAAGUUAUAUGGAUUGUACUUCCAACAGCUUCCAAACUGUUACUGGUUAAUAGUAUGACAAUCUUUGGCAUCCCAAAAGCAUUUAAAUCUAAAGACCGGUGCUUAAUUGCAUGGCUGGUCCUUGAUGGUGUUGUAGACCCACCAUUUCAUUUUGGAAGUGGAGUUUUUAUAAACCAGGGCUCAUAAAUUCCUGACUGCACUGAAUAUCAGUGGUACCAGGGAAACAAACAACCGUCCAUCAUCUUUGGUCACUGUUUGAGGUCGGAAUGGCUCAUUUGUCCAAUGGAUCUCACUGCACAUCAUACCCUCAUCCAAAUUUAUUGUCAGAGCAGAAGUCAGAGGGCAGUGUCAUGAGGGGUGCUGAACCUCCAGGAAGAGGUGCUGACAGUGAUGCCAGAUGAGAGAAAGUGGUGGCUUCUCUGAGACACAGGAAGUCCUGAGAACCUUGCUUCUCAAUCCUGCCUCUGCCAUCACUGACUCUGAGGCCCUCUUAGUUUCUAGUUUUGUAAAACAAAAGAGGUGGAUUCGUUCUAUGGGUCUUAACUUCUUUGGAGCCAUGGUCUCCUUGGGAAUUUCUGGAAGCCCUCUGGGGUACAUCUACUCCACAAUCAAGCCCUAGAUUAGAUGGUCUCUCUGAGGCAUUCCAGCCCCAGUCUUGUGCAAAGUUCUGAUCCUUCCAUGAAAUAUGUAGAAAGGAAAAGUCCAUUAUUUAAAUUCUGGAGAAGGAAUUAAGAAAUGUUGCCAUCCUUCACAACUCUGUGGCGGUUUAAGUCACAUGCUGUAAAGAUCACCUUUAAUCUAGUUUAACUAAUCUAGUUCAUCAAAUAACUGUCAUCUGGUAAAAAUGUUUGGUCUCAGGAUAGAGAAAUGAGAAACUCAUUGUCAGCCUCCAGAUGGGAAAAAAAGUCAAGAGUUCAUACUUUAUUUAUGAAGUAAAAAUAAAAGCCUUAUGUGUUCUUUAAGUUUGUUUUCAUUUUUUAUUUUCAAUAAUGCUAGACAGGAGGCAGCCAAUCAGAACUGGAGAGCUCUUUGGUAGUAAUUAUGCUUCAUCUGCUAAUUUCUAAGCAGGAAAAAUAUGAUUAAAAUGAGUUUCCGCACAGCUGUUGAUUAGGCAUAAUGGUAAAGUAAUCAUCAUAAAGCUAAUAAUCAAAGUGGAGCUAACAUUUGGAAAGUCAUUGUUGAGUAACCAGAAGGCUCUAAAAGCCAAAAACAAUAUCCAGCUAACUAUAAAAGGAUACCCCCCCACACACACACUUUUUUUGUCUGCAAUACAACAUCAAUUAAACAGAGCAAACGAAAACCAGUUAAUUACAUCAAUUUUGAGGUCAACUUUCAACAGCUCAAACCCCCAUGAUAAACAAACCACAAUAUUGAAAGCUCUUUUGAAAAAUCAAUAAACAAAUGGCCAUCAUACUAGGAAAAACUGCAACACAUUUAACAACACGUCAAUAAAUUCUAAACAAGCAUUGUACUUUGAUUAGCUCAAACCCCCUGUUGCCUGCCCUGCCUGCCCCUAAUAUGCAUUCCCGGUCCACUCAGGAAAGUGUGCCUGUGGCCUGGUGGUACUACAGUCAGACAGCUGUUGCAGACCUCCACUGAGUCAUUCUUUGUAACUGUACAGCUCCCCCUGGAAAGCAGAGAUUAAUGAGCUCACAAGGGGGACAACACAUCACUUAAGAUCUUGGUGAUGAUAACAAGGAGCUAUUCAGGAUGCUUGACAACAGAACCACUUUCUUAUAUUUGUUAUCCAGAAUUCCAAAGUCAGUGGCAUUAAUAGAAAGUUGAGCGAAUGUGGAGGUAUUCCAAAUAGAGUAGGAGCAAAUGGGGUUCUUGGCUUGUCUUUCAUUGGGAUCCUGAUUGAAGACCAUUGGACAAGAUCUGUUAGGAUUCUAACCACAAUCCAUUGGAAAUCACUGGAGAGUCAAAGGUGAAUGAAGAUGAAUAUAUAUGGGAGAGGGGUGGUUAGAUGCCCAGUGGCAGAGAAAAUUGUGAUCCAAGGGCAGAUAUAUAUUUGGUGUCUCAACAUCCUUUGUUGUUUUCUCUCUACUUUUGCUCUCUUACUUUUUUUCUUUUAAUACAUUAAAUUCCUUAGAAUUAUCUCCUACCACUCUUGGUGGAAGCACUGGAUUUCCUCUGCCAAGUGAUCUAGGAUA